rnacentral:snRNA from 1 species
GCACGGGCCGGCUCAACCCGC